GAUGAACGCUGGCGGCGUGCUUAACACAUGCAAGUCGAACGAAGCACUUUAUUUGAUUUCCUUCGGGACUGAUUAUUUUGUGACUGAGUGGCGGACGGGUGAGUAACGCGUGGGUAACCUGCCUUGUACAGGGGGAUAACAGUUGGAAACGGCUGCUAAUACCGCAUAAGCGCACAGCAUCGCAUGAUGCAGUGUGAAAAACUCCGGUGGUAUAAGAUGGACCCGCGUUGGAUUAGCUAGUUGGUGAGGUAACGGCCCACCAAGGCGACGAUCCAUAGCCGACCUGAGAGGGUGACCGGCCACAUUGGGACUGAGACACGGCCCAAACUCCUACGUGAGGCAGCAGUGGGGAAUAUUGCACAAUGGGCGAAAGCCUGAUGCAGCGACGCCGCGUGAGCGAAGAAGUAUUUCGGUAUGUAAAGCUCUAUCAGCAGGGAAGAUAAUGACGGUACCUGACGAAGAAGCACCGGCUAAAUACGUG
rnacentral:rRNA from 1 species